CUUUGUUUCUGGGAUAAUACGAUGCAGGCUCUGUGCCUCCGACUGACAGACAUUUUUUUCUCUGCAUUGCUCUGGUUUACUACUAUUAUCAACCAACAUAAGAAUAGUUUUGUGGACAGUUCUCUGUUGCAAUAAUUCGGACUAUCAAAACACGGGCACUGAAGGGAGUCACCCACAAUCUGUUUUUGUCAAUAAAAAAGCAAACAUUCACAGGAGAAAUCACCGUCGUAGUUCCCCUUCGGAAAACAUUUGUCUGCUUUUCAAUUAGUGCUGACUGUUUUAGACCAGAGAUGCAGGUCCCCAAAUUUGGCGCUCCCCGGACCUGAAACUGGUGACUGGACUGAGGAGUGGACACAAACCAAAGAGCCCCUUCUCUACAGCCAGCCGUGCUGGAUGCAGCUGAAUAACAAGCUGAGGAAGAGAAAAAGAAAGAGCAUUUGAUUCUUCCGCUCCAUUCAGAGGACUGCCAUCCAUGUGGUGGUAUGAUGAGACUGUGAGCCAAGAGAAACACAAUCAGACAGGAGCGUAGUGAUAAAGGGAGAGAAAGAAAGAAAGGCAAGAAAGGAUUAAGGGUGCGAGGUGAGUGUCUAGGUGCCCUCCUAACCCCUAGGUAGUAGCACCAGUCAGGGCAGCAAGAUGACCAGCCUGUUCAGGCGCAGCAGCAGUAAUGGAGGCUCCAGGGGAGGUGGAGGAGGAGGGGGAGGCAGUGGUGGUUCCACCCCAGGAGAUCUCAACAACAGCAGGCCUAACCGACAAGUCCGGCGCCUGGAAUUCAACCAGGCCAUGGAGGACUUCAAGAUCAUGUUCCCCACCAUGGAUUACGAGGUCAUCGAGUGCGUCCUGCGUUCCAACAACGGGGCGGUGGACGCCACCAUCGACCAGCUCCUCCAGAUGAGUAUCGACGGAGAGGGAUCAGAUGACAGCUCUGACUCCGAUGACAGCAUCCCACCAGAGGUUCUGGAGAGGACAUUAGAACCGGACAGUUCUGACGAGGAACCGCCUCCUGUCUACUCACCGCCCACUUAUGACAUGCACAUCUAUGACAGGAAGUACCCAGAGGCCCCGCCCACUCCUCCACCAAGGUUCGAGGCUCAGCCACCUCCAGGUCACCGGCAGGUCCGCAGCUUCAGGAACUGGAAUCCGCCAUUGCUUGGCAACCUUCCAGAUGAUUUCCUGCGGAUCCUGCCACAGCAACUGGACAGUAUACAGGGCUCACAGAGCAGUCUGUCCCAGCCUUCUUCCUCCUCCUCUCUGUCCUCCAUUGUCCAGCAGACGACCCAGGGAGGUAUCUCCAGGCCAGGGGCUGGUGGAGCCCUAGGGGGCCCUGGAGGUCCAGUUGGUGCCGAGGGCAUGGAGGGGACAGGCACGGAGCAAGAGCGUAAACUGAAACAGUACCUGGAUGAUGAGCGCAUCGCCCUGUUCCUCCAGAACGAGGAGUUCAUGAGGGAGCUGCAGCGCAACCGCGAGUUCCUCGUCGCCCUAGAGAGAGAUCGCUUGAAGUAUGAAUCAAAGAAAUCCAAGUCCAAUCAUUCAUCCACUCACAUGGAGAAUUCCACAGCAGGAGAGCACUGUGCGUCAGGGUCGAUGGAGGCUUGUACUGCUGUGUCAGAUGACGCCAUGUUUAGAGACAAACUCAAACACAUGGGCAAAUCAACACGAAAGAAGCUGUUUGAAAUCGCCAGAUCAUUCUCUGACAAGACAAAGAGAAGAAAGUUAAAAAGAAGAACGCUCCUGAAGCACCAGUCGUAUCCUUCAUUGCCAGUCGAUUCUAAUUUCCUAUCAGAAACGUUAGAUGGGUUCCAUUUUGCAGUGUUUUAUAGAACUCAAUGAUCACGUACCACAUACUGUAUAAUACAGAUGUCCAGUGCCUUUGGUAAUUUUCAGACCCCUUUUGUUAGGUUUCCACCUUUUGUUAGGUUACAGCCUUAUUCUAAAAUGUAUUAAAUAGUUUUUUAAAGUCAAAAAUAAACAUCAGAAAUAUCACAUUUACGGAGGUAUUCAGACCCUUUACUCAGUACUGUGUUGAAGCACCUUUGGCAGCGAUUACAGCCUCGAGUCUUCUUGGGUAUGACUCUACAAGCUUGGCACACCUGUAUUUGGGGAGUUUCUCCCAGUCUUCUCUGCAGACCUCAAGCUCUGUCAGGUUGGAGUGUUUUCAGGUCUCUCCAAAGAUGUUGGAUCGGGUUUAAGUCCGGGCUCUGGCUGGGCCACACAAGGACAUUCAGAGACUUGUCCCGAAGCCACACCUGCAUUGUCUUGGCUGUGUGCUUAGUGUCGUUGUCCUGUUGGAAGGUGAACCUUCACCCCAGUCUGAGGUCCUGAGCACUCUGGAGCAGGUUUUCAUCAACGAUCUCACCGUACUUUGCUCUGUUCAUCUUUGCCUCGAUUCUGACUAGUCAUCCAGUCCAUGCCUCUGAAAAACAUCCCCACAGCAUGAUGCUGCCACCACCAUGCUUCACCGUAGGGAUGGUGCCAGGUUUCCUCCAGACUUGACGCUUGGCAUUCAGGCCAAAGAGUUCAAUCUUGGUUUCAUCAGACCAGAGAAUCUUGUUUCUCAUGGUCUGAGAGUCUUUAGGUGCAUUUUGACAAACUCUAAGCAGGCUGUCGUGUGCUUUUUACUGAGGAGUGGCUUCUGUCUGGCCUAAUUGGUGGAGUUCCAAACUUAUUCCAUUUAAGAAUGAUAACUUUCCUAGUUAAAUAAAGGUUACACAAUGAUUGAGGCCACUGGGUUCUCAGGGCCCUUCAAUGCUGCAGAAAUAAUCAAGUUGUAGAAGCAUCUCAAGUAUGAUCAACGGAAACAGGAUGCACCUCAGCUUCAUUCCCUCAGCUUCAUUACUUUCGUACAUAAGGUAUUUCUGUUUUAUAUAUAUAUAUAUAUAUAUACACAGUGGGGAGAACAAGUAUUUGAUACACUGCCGAUUUUGCAGGUUUUCCUACUUACAAAACAUGUAGAGGUCUGUAAUUUUUAGCAUAAGUACACUUCAACUGUGAGACGGAAUCUAAAACAAAGAAAAUCACAUUGUAUGAUUUUUAAGUCAUUAAUUAGCAUUUUAUUGCAUGACAUAAGUAUUUGAUACAUCAGAAAAGCAGAACUUAAUAUUUGGUACAGAAUCCUUUGUUUGCAAUUACAGAGAUCAUACGUUUCCUGUAGUUCUUGACCAGGUUUGCACACACUGCAGCAGGGAUUUUGGCCCACUCCUCCAUACAGACCUUCUCCAGAUGCUUCAGGUUUCGGGGCUGUCGCUGGGCAAUACGGACUUUCAGCUCCCUCCAAAGAUUUUCUAUUGUGUUCAGGUCUGGAGACUGGCUAGGCCACUCCAGGACCUUGAGAUGCUUCUUACGGAGCCACUCCUUAGUUGCCCUGGCUGUGUGUUUCGGGUCGUUGUCAUGCUGGAAGACCCAGCCACGACCCAUCUUCAAUGCGCUUACUGAGGGAAGGAGGUUGUUGGCCAAGAUCUCGCGAUACAUGGCCCCAUCCAUCCUCCCCUCAAUACGGUGCAGUCGUCCUGUCCCCUUUGCAGAAAAGCAUCCCCAAAGAAUUAUGUUUCCACCUCCAUGCUUCACGGUUGUGAUGGUAUUAUUGGGGUUGUACUCAUCCUUCUUCUUCCUCCAAACAUGGCGAGUGGAGUUUAGACCAAAAAGCUCUAUUUUUGUCUCAUCAGACCACAUGACCUUCUCCCAUUCCUCCUCUGGAUCAUCCAGAUGAUCAUUGGCAAACUUCAGACAGGCCUGGACAUGCGCUGGCUUGAGCAGGGGGACCUUGCGUGCCCUGCAGGAUUUUAAUCCAUGACGGUGUAGUGUGUUACUAAUGGUUUUCUUUGAGACUGUGGUCCCAGCUCUCUUCAGGUCAUUGACCAGGUCCUGCCGUGUAGUUCUGGGCUGAUCCCUCACCUUCCUCAUGAUCAUUGAUGCCCCACGAGGUGAGAUCUUACAUGGAGCCCCAGACCGAGGGUGAUUGACCGUCAACUUGAACGUCUUCCAUUUUCUAAUAAUUGCGCCAACAGUUGUUACCUACUCAUCAAGCUGCUUGCCUAUUGUCAUGUAGCCCAUCCCAGCCUUGUGCAGGUCUACAAUUUUAUCCCUGAUGUCCUUACACAGCUCUCUGGUCUUGGCCAUUGUGGAGCGGUUGGAGUCUGUUUGAGUGUGUGGACAGGUGUCUUUUAUACAGGUAACGAGUUCAAACAGGUGCAGUUAAUACAUGUAAUGAGUGGAGAACAGGAGGGCUUCUUAAAGAAAAACGAACAGGUCUGUGAGAGCCGGAAUUCUAACUGGUUGGUAGUUGAUCAAAUACGUAUGUCAUGCAAUAAAAUGCUAAUUAAUUACUUAAAAAUCGUACAAUGUGAUUUUCUGGAUUUUUGUUUUAGAUUCCGUCUCUCACAGUUGAAGUCUACGUAUGAUCAAAAUUACAGACCUCUACAUGCUUUCCCUUUAGGUGUUUUCCUCGACCAUAUCCCCACUAAGACUGGGCAUAGCCAACUCUACAGCCAACCUCCUGGAGGAUGUGGAGGGAAGCCCGGAAGAUGGCCAGCCCAGAAGAUCAGACACUCAAGAAAAUGAUGUGCCACACAAGGAGCUGUUGUCAUGAUCCUCCAAGGCUGUACCACAUCAGUGUUUCCAUGGUGACAGCAGAAUGACCCAUGGCUGGUGGUCAAGCAAUACUUCAGCUCCUCCCUCCCCUAACACAGACCAGCUAAUCCCAGGCCAAGAAGUGACAUGGGACCACCCACUUGCCCAGGGGGAGAAGAAGCAAACUGCUAUCCACACACCACCUCUCCUUAACUCUGACUGUUCAUAAUCGCAUUGGAUUACCAUUAUAAUCUCUGUAUUAUAACUCUUAGUUAAUAUAUGAUUUAAUAUGUAAAGGACCAGAUGCAUUAGUCUUUUGACUGUUCUGUAUUUUUUUUUUAAAUAUCCGCUCCCUUUAAUCCCCAUUGCAGAAGGCAUGGCAGCCUUGGUGAGGAUGAUCUUACCAUAUGGACUCAUCUAGUGUUACCAGUCUAAUCUAUUUUUUAUGGCUGGGAUAGGUCACUCCUGAGCCAAAGUGUGCACCUCUGAAAUGUCCCAUAAUAAUGUCCAUGUGUUGCUACGUCCAUUUGGUCACAGUUUUAAACAGACAGUAAUCAGUGAUGACGUGGCACGUUUUUAAACAUCCCAACUAGAAUCACAGCUCAAUCCAAGUUCAAUCCCAUUUUUCCUGAAAGUUCAGGAAACAGAAAAGACUUGUAAACAGAGACCCUAACAUUACAGUCAACAUUAUAUUCACCCCCCCCCCUUUAAAUCUAGAGUUUCCUCUGAGCAAUUUGACACCCUUCUGCUGCACCCUAUAUAAAAGAGAGGCAUUCCAACCUGUCAAAAUAGUCACUUGUCCCUAGCGGGUCAUAUUUCAUCCCAUAUUGUUAUGUCAAUGUGUAACUAAAUGCCAAGCUUUCCCUUUAAUCCAAUUUCAGGAAUUCUGACAAUAAACAUAAGCUUUCAUGUGAACUGAAAUAUUCCUCAAGCUACACUGACUGCCAUAUCUCAGUAUUCUCAUGUCUUUUUCAAUACAGCAUUUAUAUCUUGUUGAGAGGAAGGAGGGGUGGCAUAUUGCUGAAUUCCAGUAUUAUUGAGUACACAAUAUAACUACUUGAAAAAUUUGAUAAACAUAUAUACCAGUCAUCUGUGCACAUUGAUGAUAAACAUGUGUUUUGUUUUGUGGUGUAUUGGGAAAUGAACCACUUGUAAUGGGAAGUGUUGGGUAUGGAGAGAGCAGAGCAGGAUAUGGAUGAUGCCUCUGUGAGGACUGGCAUUGUUCUUGAUUAAAUACGCUGUUGGAUGUAUCAGUAUAAAAGAGAAGGCUGAUGAUGACCCAGUGCUGUGAUAUGAGCUUCAACAGACAGUCGAGGUAGAUUUGAAAUCAACCCUUUGAGCAACUAGCUGAUUUGCAAGGCUUCACAUUGAUCUGUCAAUUUCCCAACGAUUGGAAAUUAUUACCAGCUUCAAUCUUAUUCUGAAGCCUUCUCCCCAAAGUGUGCUCUUUGCUCACAAUCAUUAAAAAGGAAGGGAAUGACUGGUGUAGGAAAUAUAUUUUAAUGUUUUAAAAUGUAUUCGUAGGAGUGAGCAAGCCAAGUGCACUUUGGGGAGAAGGGUGGGGAAUUGUAACACACCACUCUUCCAUCUAAAAUGGAUUUACAUGUAAAUGGUUGAUUUGCUACCUCUCAAAUUAUGACGUAUCCACGAUUGAAAAUUAAUAUUUUUACGAUUGAAAUUUAAGAUUGUUCAAAUCACCCAUUUACCAUGUUUCCUUGAUUCAGGAAUGAGACAUGUUUUAACCCCUUCUCUGUCAGGGAUUUGACAGAAGAUCUCAUUGGUGAUAGGUCAUGUGUUGUACAUAAGGAGAAAUGUCUGUUUGUUGUACAUACGGAGAAAAUUCAAGUAUUGAUUGUGUGAAGGGAGGCUGAAACUGACCCUUUUGGUGUUCCUUUUGAAGUCUGUUGAUGUUAUGGAUUGGGUUUGGAAUUUUGCCCUGUAGACAAUUUCUGUGUGUUGUCAAUUUCUUGUUUGUUAGUUUUGCUCUCAGCAUUUCUCAUACAGGUCUUCACAAACUCUCAAAAAUUGAUGCCAAUAAAAGGAGUUUAUUGCCCUUGCCAUAAUGAAAACAAUUUGCCAGACUGCUAUAAUGUCACCCAAUCAUUUGUACUGUUAUUGAACAACAGAUCAUUCAGCUUACUCAAACUGCCAUCAGACUAUCCAUUUACCUUCAUUAUUACUGUCAUGCUAUUCACACAUUCAUAUCUAUAUAGGUGUUUAAAAUGGGCUUUUAGAAAAAAAUAUAUAUAGCUUUUACUGUACCAGACUGUUUCAAAUAUCACCCCAUGAUAGUGGAGUGCUUUCAUUUAUUUCCAUAGAGGACAUUCUAACUCAUAUCUGCAGCAACCGAGGGAGCAUCAGUGACAAGAAGCAGGUUAUGUUUGUUUACAAUAUCCUGUGACCUUUCACCCACUGACCAGUCAGCAGGUUUAUGUCUGUUUAUUCCAACAUUGCAUGAUAUCAGUUAGUCACCAAGUGCUUGCACUCCAUUGGUCUUUUGCUUAGUUUUGUUCUUUUCAGAAAAGAGAGAAAUUAAAUGUUUUGUAUCUUCAGUUCCAGGCUUUUGAUUGACAUAUGUACAUGCAGUUUUGUUAUUGUACUGUCGAGGGCAACACUCGUCUGCAUGGUUUUGUGAUGUGAUUUCAAAAUGGAUUGAUGUUUGAUGACUGCUCAUAGAAACUUGUAGAUACGUUAUCGUCUCAGGGAAGUUUCCAUCUUCUUUCUACUGUUCUUCCAUUUCCAAUUGGUCCCACUUGGUAAAAGCACAAUUAAGAAUCUAGGCCGGUAGUUUAUUCCAUCAGAAGCUUCAAAUAUGAUUUUGGUGGCCAGACAUGAUUUCAAAUGCUGGACCUGCAUAUAGGCCUAGUUGUUGUAUGGAGAAGAGCAUACUCAAAGUAAUUUCUCACUCUAACGUUUUAACCUUUUCUGACCAAUUAUUGUACUGUAUGUGUGCCAGACAGUGAUAUGCUUCAUGAUGAAUGUACAUGAAUAGAGAUGAGGCCAGUACUAGCAGACAACAUGCUUGUUUACAAUGCACUCAUGAGCCUGCAAUCUUCUAUGGCUCAUAACCAUAUGAUAAGAAUGUAUGCUACAUUUACUUUGAAUAACUACCACCACAGAGCUUGAUGGUUUUCAGCCUCUUUUGUAUUGAACUCGAUGAGAUCUGUGUGGUCUGUCCAGAAACAACCCCUAUAGCCCCUAAACCAUUUUUGUAGAUCUGUUUCUGGAUUGGGCUGUAACCAAUACAUUUAAAGAACUUCAGAAUUUGUAUGAUUCAAAAUGUGUUUGUUUGUGUCAUAUUUUGGAAGGACAAGGUCAGAAGCCAGUUUCUCCCCACAAAAUAUGUUUAAGGUUCUUUAGGUGAUUGUUUUACUCAAAAUUGUUUUCCGGAUCAGAUUUUUCUUACACUUUAAGAAAGUAUAGCUAUUGAAGUAAUCAAGUUGUGUUGUACCCUGUCUGAUGUGAUUGUGUUACAUUUGUAAAGAUUUAUUAACAUCCCUUUUCAUUAAAGUUGUUUCAAAUCAAAUCAAA